rnacentral:lncRNA from 1 species
UCUUGCAAAUAUGUUCCACACGAUGGAUUUUAACUUUGUUUCCAGGUAUAGCUGUGGACCAACUGUAUAUGAUCAUGCGCACCUUGGCCAUGCUUGCUCAUAUGUUAGAUUUGAUAUCAUUCGAAGGAUCCUAACCAAGGUUUUUGGAUGCAGCAUAGUCAUGGUGAUGGGUAUUACAGAUGUAGAUGAUAAAAUCAUCAAAAGAGCCAAUGAGGUAAGUGGAGAAGAGUUACAUCUAUUGAUAAUGCCAUUGAUUAGUGUUCUGAGCCCUUCCUGAAAGUGGUUCUUGGCCGGGCGUGGU